rnacentral:tRNA from 1 species
GGCUUGGUAGCUCAGUGGUUAGAGCACCUGGUAUAUAUCCAAGGAGGUCUUGGGUUCAAUCCCCAGUCAGGCCA